GUUGAUAAGGGCAAAUAGUCGAGAAUACUGAAAGUUCCUCCCACUUUCAGAAAUCAAGUUAUGAUAUUGUACCCCAGAAAUAUACACAAAUAUUAUGUUUCAAUUUUUUAAAUGUAAAAUCUUCAUUAACAUAUUUUUAAAACAUCUGGGACUGAAGAAUUGUGCUCAAAUUGAGAAGACUGUGGAUAAGUCAGGAUUCACCUGUUAAAUUUUGCUGGCACUCCUGUUAGAAAGCUAAUGGUCCUUCACAGUCAAAACAAAAAUUAGAAUGGAAAGUGUUGUGGAGGCCUUGUUCUUAAAGAUCUGUGGUAGAUUAAGUUAUCCUUCCCAAUUCUUCAUUUUCCAUGUCAGAGAACUGAUCAUCCUGACAAAGCAGACACAAGUUGUUCAUCCACCCUAUUGGCAUUGGGUUUGGUUAUAUGAUGAUUUUAGCCUCUGCAAUAUUAGAAGCUGUGUCACCAGCAGCUUUAUAGUAGUUGGGGGAUUUGGCUUGCUCUCUCCUACUCAUGUAAUCUGCCAUUAGAAGAACACAACACGAUCUAGGUUGACACCACUCCUUCAACCUGGACUUCAAAGGGAACAAAUUUGAAAAAGAUGCAAUUAGUGCUGGAAGCCCUAAAUCCAGAAAGACUUGAGUCCAGGUUAGUUAAGCAAAGUCAAUCUGAAGAUCCUUAAGAUUUUAAAGUGUAGUUUUGAGCAUAUAUCUUUAUUUGUCCUUAAACCCCCAUAUAGUAUGCAAAAGAAACCAAUGCAUUAACCAUUACUUCAUUGUCCUGAUGUGCCCACUGGAAUUCUAAGGGACUUAGAAAAAAAUAAAGAAAUGUACAGACAAAAAUAAUAUUUAUUUUUUCUCUUACUAACAUAGAUAAAACCAGGUUUUUAUUUGUGUUGACACAACUUUAUUCUUGUGAACUGAUCAUAUUUGGGGAAGGCAGGUGUGAAUGCUGGUUGCCUAUUUCAUAAGAUACCUAUUUCAUUGUUUCGUUACUAACCUUAAUUUGAGCAGUGACAUUUCAUUUUUUGGAUAAUAUAGAUAAACUCAGAUAGGAACCCCAAUUCUAUGGCCUGAAAAAUCUAAAUUCCUUCCUUGGAUGUCUUUGACUUACUGUGGUGCUUACUUUUUUUUACCAGCCUCUUUGCCUGUGCUAUUUUAUGUCCACCUGUUUCAUUUCUACUUCUUUGAUGUCAAUUUGGAUGUGAAAUCUAAUGCUUAUAAGUUUCUAUAUGCUCAAAAUCCAUUCAAGUCAAGAAUGUAGACGAUUGAGGUCAUACUUUUCCAUCUCUGAGCUUAUUACACUCUGGCAUUUCUCUUAUUCCCUACUUUUAUCUCACCUUUGACACCCUUACACCUUUUCUUUUCUGAUUCUUUGGAGAACAAAAGAAAAUUUUCUUUUAUCAUGUAUAGCUAUAUAGUAAUCC
rnacentral:lncRNA from 1 species